rnacentral:tRNA from 1 species
GGCUGGGUAGCUUAGUGGUAAAGCACCUUGGUUCCUCUCUAUUUUGGUAGAGAGGAACAACCUUCCAAUAGAUUUAUGUUUAUGUGAAUCUAUUGGAAGAGGUUUCCGAGGUUCGAAUCCUCGUCCAGCCA